GCGAGAGGGCAGUUGUUGCCAGGUCCAUCAGUGUGCCAAACCAAUGCUGAUGUGGCCACGCCGGGGCAAUCAUGAUGACUUUGGCCUUGUCCCUCUUGAUCUUUGACAGGACUCUGCUGAUGAGUGGGAUCGGCAGAAUGCAUACAUCAGAGCCCUCGACCAUGACAGGAGGAAGGCAUCGGGAGAGAGUCCUUGCCAAGCCACUGCAGGGAACAGAACUGAUGACAUUUCCAGUUCUGUCUGGUGGUGAACUGGUCUGCCUGGGGAGUUCCCCACCUCUGGAAGAGCAUGUGGGCUACCUCUGGAUGGAGCAACGACUCAUGGUAAGAGGAAAAGGACCUGCUGAGGCAAUCUGACAGCUAUUCCUGACGCCAGGAAAAUGACAGGCCUCCAGGUGGAUUGCAUGCCUGAUGCAGAAAUCCCACAGACAGAGCGCCUCUUGACAGAGAGCAGAUGAGUGCACUCCCCUUUGCUUGUUGAUGUAGAAAAUUGAAGCCAGAUUGUCUGUCAACACCCUCACCACUUUGACCAAGAGAUGUGGUAGGAAGACACUUCAGGCCAGGUGAACCGCUCUGAGCUCUCUGAUGUUUAUGUACAAUGUCAAUUCCUCCGGGGACCACAUACCUUGGGUCUACAACACGCCUAGAUGUGUGCCCCAGCCGAGGUCCGAAGUGUCCAACCUCAGUUCAACCGAGGGGCACGGACUGUCAAAUGGGACUCCAUCUAGGACUGCCUUGGAGUCAGUCCACCAUUGCAGAGAGGCCUAGGGACCGGCACAUGACCUGUAGUACCGCGACAUCUCACUAGACUUGAGACUUAGAGCAGCCUUUGACCAGCCAGUCAUUAAGAUACGGGUAUAUCUGAAUACUCUGAUGCCUGAGAAACAGCUCCUGGCCAUCGAAGAGGAGAUCCUGUAUGGAUUGCUGGACCACAAUCGACAAGCCAGACAGAGUCAACCAGGCCGCCCUCCGCAUAGAGAUGGCAGAGGCCAUAGUACGAGCCGUGGAGUCCGCCGUGUCCAAGGCUGCCUGGUCUCUGGCUGCAGCCCAGCCCUCCUCCAGGAGCACCAAGAACUCCUUCCUGGUGUCAAUUC